UCACUAACAGUCGAAGAGGAAAGAGACCCUCUUCAAUUCAUUCUACAGUCUGGCAGACACACCCUACCAUUUUAUAUCGUUAAUCUUGCCGCAGAAGAAACUGAAGGAAUGUACCGUACUGCAAAAGAAGACAAAACACUACAUACUCAUUGUACUUCAUCAGGUGCUCUGGAUGUUAUAUACCGGGGGCUUGAUGUAGUACAAGACAACAUGAGUGAUAUUCAUCAUUUUCAUCAACAUCCAACAUUAUAUCUACCAACAUUGUUCAGUCAACCGAUGCCCCAUCUACCAUAUUUCUUCACUUAUUAACCAGAUUAGUCUCGAGCCUGGUUCCGGAUUCGGAAAUACUUGUCCAGAAAUAGCUUUAACUUCUGAUGUUUUUUCUUCAGAAAAAACAACCCACUAUUUUUCAAGAUUUUAGUGAUUCCGUAUUUAAUUAUUCGUAUGUCGACCUUUUUUAUAAUUAACAAAUUUUUUGAUAAAUUUCGCAAUUUUUGUAGUAGAAACCUAUAAAUGGAAUUAUUCAGUGAUCAUUGCGGAUUUAAUGUAUCGUCAUUACUUAAAAGAUGAAUUGUUGUUUUGAAUUAUAAGUUAAUUAUUAAUAUUAGUUACCCUAAGUUAACCAUUUUUGUCAUGUUAUAUAUGUAUGAGAAUAAAUAAAAUUGA
rnacentral:lncRNA from 1 species